UGGGGAAUAUUGGACAAUGGGCGCAAGCCUGAUCCAGCCGUGCCGCGUGAGUGACGAAGGUCUUCGGAUUGUAAAGCUCUUUUGGCGGGGACGAUAAUGACGGUACCCGCAGAAUAAGCCCCGGCUAACUUCGUGCCAGCAGCCGCGGUAAUACGAAGGGGGCUAGCGUUGUUCGGAAUUACUGGGCGUAAAGCGCACGUAGGCGGACUGAUAAGUCAGGGGUGAAAUCCCGGGGCUCAACCUCGGAACUGCCUUUGAUACUGUUAGUCUCGAGUCCGGAAGAGGUGAGUGGAAUUCCUAGUGUAGAGGUGAAAUUCGUAGAUAUUAGGAAGAACACCAGUGGCGAAGGCGGCUCACUGGUCCGGUACUGACGCUGAGGUGCGAAAGCGUGGGGAGCAAACAGGAUUAGAUACCCCCGUAGUCCCUGAGCGGGCUGGCAAGGCGCAU
rnacentral:rRNA from 1 species